rnacentral:rRNA from 1 species
GAGUCUGGUAAUUGGAAUGAGUACAAUCUAAAUCCCUUAACGAGGANCCAUUGGAGGGCAAGUCUGGUGCCAGCAGCCGCGGUAAUUCCAGCUCCAAUAANGUAUAUUUAAGUUGUUGCAGAUAAAAAGCUCGUAGUUNNNUCUUGGGUCGUCACGGUUGGUCUGCCUACUCGGUGUGCACUGGCCCUCACGUCCCUUCUCCGGCGGCGUGCUCCUGGCCUUAAUUGUCUGGGUCGCGGUUCCGGNGCCGUUACUUU